rnacentral:misc_RNA from 1 species
GAUGAAGAACGUAGCGAAAUGCGAUACGUAAUGUGAAUUGCAGAAUUCAGUGAAUCAUCGAAUCUUUGAACGCACAUUGCGCCCCCUGGUAUUCCGGGGGGCAUGCCUGUCCGAGCGUCAUUACAACCCUCAAGCUCAGCUUGGUGUUGGGCCCCGCCGCCCCGGCGGGCCCUAAAGUCAGUGGCGGUGCCGUCCGGCUCCGAGCGUAGUAAUUCUUCUCGCUCUGGAGGUCCGGUCGUGUGCUCGCCAGCAACCCCCAAUUUUUUCAGGUUGACCUCGGAUCAGGUAGGGAUACCCGCUGAACUUAAGCAUAUCAAUAAGCGGAGGA